CUAUAUACUUUUAUAUUAAUAAAGUACAAAAAAAUAGCUACUUCCGGUUUACAAAAGGUCACUUCCGGUUGUUUUUUUCAAGGUUAAAUGGUUUGAUACCUUUUUCUAAAAGUUGAAUAUCUUUAUUAUGUAUACAUAUAGAAUAAAAGCAAAGGUCAAAAUCUAGAACGUCAAAUUAAGCUAUGACCUUGAGAUCAAUUUCAAGGUCAUAAACCAAGGACCUCAAAUCAAAAGACCAUAGGUUUUAAUUAUAUUCAGUUAAUGAGUUAUAUCACCAAACGCGUAUUUUUAAAUACAAGAGGGGAGAAAACUCCCUUUUACAUUCAACGUACGCUUGCAAUCAAAAUUUACAUCUUACGACAUGUCGCAACUAACAAUUUAGUAAAAAUAAUUUGUUUAUAUCUUAUACAGUCUUUGGAUAUAAGUGAAAAUAAGCC
rnacentral:lncRNA from 1 species